GGAUACCCGAGGGAAACUUCGGUUAAUACGGUAUAAGACCACACUACCGCAUGGUAGAGGGGUAAAAGGGGCAACCUGGUAUGAGAUGGACUCGCGUCGCAUUAGCUAGUUGGUGAGGUGACGGCCCACCAAGGCGACGAUGCGUAGCCGACCUGAGAGGGUGAUCGGCCACAUUGGGACUGAGAUACGGCCCAGACUCCUACGGGAGGCAGCAGUGGGGAAUAUUGGGCAAUGGAGGAAACUCUGACCCAGCAAUGCCGCGUGAAUGAAGAAGGUCUUCGGAUUGUAAAGUUCUUUAGCCAGGGAAGAAGUCAAUGACGGUACCUGAAGAAUAAGCUCCGGCUAACUACGUGCCAGCAGCCGCGGUAAUACGUAGGGAGCAAGCGUUGUUCGGAAUGACUGGGCGUAAAGGGUGCGUAGGCGGUUGUACAAGUUAGAAGUGAAAUACCCAGGGCUUAACUCGGGUGCUGCUUCUAAAACUGUAUGACUUGAGUGCAGUAGAGGUUAGUGGAAUUCCUAGUGUAGCGGUGGAAUGCGUAGAUAUUAGGAGGAACACCAGAGGCGAAGGCGGCUAACUGGACUGCAACUGACGCUGAGGCACGAAAGUGUGGGGAGCAAACAGGAUUAGAUACCCUGGUAGUCCACACUGUAAACGAUGCAUAAUGGAUGUAGGAGGUAUCGACUCCUUCUGCGUCGCA
rnacentral:rRNA from 1 species